rnacentral:rRNA from 1 species
AUUGAACGCUGGCGGCAUGCCUUACACAUGCAAGUCGAACGGCAGCGGGGGAGAAGCUUGCUUUUCCUGCCGGCGAGUGGCGAACGGGUGAGUAAUACAUCGGAACGUGCCCUGUAGUGGGGAUAACUAGUCGAAAGAUUAGCUAAUACCGCAUACGACCUGAGGGUGAAAGUGGGGGAGCGCAAGGCCUCAUGCUAUAGGAGCGGCCGAUGUCUGAUUAGCUAGUUGGUGGGGUAAAGGCCUACCAAGGCGACGAUCAGUAGCUGGUCUGAGAGGACGAUCAGCCACACUGGGACUGAGACACGGCCCAGACUCCUACGGGAGGCAGCAGUGGGGAAUUUUGGACAAUGGGCGAAAGCCUGAUCCAGCAAUGCCGCGUGUGUGAAGAAGGCCUUCGGGUUGUAAAGCACUUUUGUCCGGAAAGAAAUGGCUCUGGUUAAUACCUGGGGUCGAUGACGGUACCGGAAGAAUAAGGACCGGCUAACUACGUGCCAGCCGCCGCCGUAA